rnacentral:lncRNA from 7 species
CUCCUUACUCUUUCAUAGAAAGAUAGAAAGCGGGGCAGCAGUAGGGUUUAGGUCAAAAAUAAAAAUAAACAUGGGUAAGUUAGGUAUCCAAUAAAUAUUUAUCUAUCCUAAUUUUAUGGUGUAUUCUUACGUCCUUUGCUUAUAAAAAAGGUAACAAACGAAAGAAAAAAUCUCUCUAUUCCCGCGUCUUCUAUUCAGAGCAUCCCCUACUCUUUUUUAGGGAAAGAGCGAUGUAUCAUAUUUCUACUUAAUGCUCUCCAAUUCUACCAGAAAUCAUAUAAGAAUUUGUUAGGAGUAAAUUCCUUUAACGGAUUCAUCCAUAGUCUUAGGGCAGAAUGGCCUUUUGACUCUGUACCCUUGAUUCCACUAUGAUUAUUGAUCAAUAGUAGAAGAAUUCUUUCAUAGAAAUAGGAGACAUAAUUUACAUGGAUAUAGUAAGUCUCACUUGGGCUGCUUUAAUGGUAGUCUUUACAUUUUCUCUUUCGCUAGUAGUAUGGGGGAGGAGUGGACUCUAGGGAUACUACCAAUUGAUUGAGUAGUCGAAUUGUAGUAUCAACUCUUUUCUUUAAUUGAUCGUUUUGCAUUAAUAAUUUUGCCAAACUUUAUUUUUUCUCUCUUUCUUUAGUUUUGUUUCACUCUUGUAAGAAACUCUUUUAAGAAAGUAAGAAAGAGUCGUUCUAUUCCAGUAUAAUAGAAUAGAAAGGGCGAUUAUAGUAAUUCAUAACUUCUAUUCUACUAGAAAUUAUGAGUAAAAAGAAAGUUCUAUACAUAAGAAAAUUAGAACAUAAGAAAAUUAGACUUUCUUACACGAAGCUAUUCACAAUAUAUCGCACAUUUUCCAUUUAUACUAUUUUCUUAUUCUUAGAAAAUUUUUGAUGUUCUUUUUUUUUUUGAAGGAUCUCGAUUGAAGCAUCUCGCACCUUUUUUAAGCAUGAAAGAUUCGUAGGUUUUUUCCUUUUACUUUUUUUCUUUUACUAUAAUCUAUUCUAGUCUAUUCUCGUAUUAUUUUUCUCCCCCUCCUUGGAUUCUUUCAAUGAAGAAUUAUCUUCGAUUUUUUUGAUUUUGACUUGAUUGAAAUUAAGUGGAUGCAGUGAAAAAAGAAGUUGAAUUAGACUACUAUUUCAAUCUACUAAUCGAUUCUAUGUAGAUUCAAGAUAAUAUAAUAGAAAGAAUCUAAAGUGUGGUAGAAAAAACUAUAUGUAGUUCUUUCUACCACACUUUAUGAUUCCAACCAGACCCUUUCAUUUAAGACUUGGAUUUUUUAUUUUCUUUAAUCCCUUUUUCAUUUCUUCAAUGAUUAAUUGGAAUUCCAAUUAAUCAUUUUGACUGGCUGUUUUUACAUAAAUAAUAAGUAAAAAGGCAGUAGGAACUAGAAUGAACAAUGCUGUAGCAAUAAAUGCGAGAAUAUUUACUUCCAUAACCUCUUUAUUUAUUUAUUUUUUUUCACAAUAACUCGGGAUGUAAUCCCAUGGAGAGGAAAAAGGGGUAUCCUGUAAAUUCAAGGGGAGGACUUGCAUUCUGAUAAUACUGAAUCAAUUCAAUAUUAUGAAUAUUGCAUCUAUCAAAUCAAUUCAUGGUGGAUAGUGGAAUAAUAUAACAUAGGAAGAUCUCUUAUCCAUACUAAGACCAAAAUAGGUUUUUUGAUUGGAUUCGAAACCCCCUCUAUUCUUUUUUCAUUCUUUUCUACUUUUGCUUUUCUAUAUGUAUAACCCAAAAUCUUUCUUAUCUUAUCCAAUUUCACUUCCUUUUUCUUAUAGUUAUACAUACAAUUAUGUAUGUAUUAUAUGACCAACUUUCUAUGGGUCACAUAGACAUCCCAAUAAGCAGUAGAAGUAGAAAUGAGAUGGAGAAAAGAGGAUCUUAAAUAAAAAGGAUCCCAUAUUUAAAUUUAGGAAAAAGAGCGUUUGCUUGGUUUUUAUUUUAUUAGGUUACUAUCCAUAUACGCUUUUUGGGGUCUAAAGAUGAGAGCAAAUCCAUAAAAAAAGGAGUCGGCAAAUGGAGUGAGAAUGAGGUGGAUUCUUUCCAAUUAUAUACACAAACAAAGUUGGAACUAGAAAAUGGAAGGGGUGCGGUUUAACCCCCAAAAAGUAACUAAUUAGAUGAAAUUCAUUCUCUAACAAUAAACGAAUACGGUUUAUGUAUGGAUUCCGGUAAAAUACCGGUACUCGAUUUCAUAAGAGUCGAAUAGGAAGUUAAGAUGAGGGUGGUAUCAUCAUAAAAAUGGAGUAGUAUCCUAAAUUAUACUAAUCCACGUAUGAUAUGUAUGCCUUUCCUUAUCAACCGGAAGUAGUGCAAAAAAAAUUCUAUACUGCACUGCUCUCUUUUUACU